AGCGGCGAACGGGUGAGUAACACGUGAGCAACCUGCCCCAGGCUUUGGGAUAACCCCGGGAAACCGGGGCUAAUACCGAAUAUGACCUCGCACCGCAUGGUGUUUGGUGGAAAGUUUUUCGGCUUGGGAUGGGCUCGCGGCCUAUCAGCUUGUUGGUGGGGUGAUGGCCUACCAAGGCGACGACGGGUAGCCGGCCUGAGAGGGCGACCGGCCACACUGGGACUGAGACACGGCCCAGACUCCUACGGGAGGCAGCAGUGGGGAAUAUUGCACAAUGGGCGGAAGCCUGAUGCAGCGACGCCGCGUGAGGGAUGACGGCCUUCGGGUUGUAAACCUCUUUCAGCAGGGACGAAGCGUAAGUGACGGUACCUGCAGAAGAAGCGCCGGCCAACUACGUGCCAGCAGCCGCGGUAAGACGUAGGGCGCGAGCGUUGUCCGGAUUUAUUGGGCGUAAAGAGCUCGUAGGCGGCUUGUCGCGUCGACCGUGAAAACCUGGGGCUCAACCCCAGGCCUGCGGUCGAUACGGGCAGGCUAGAGUUCGGUAGGGGAGACUGGAAUUCCUGGUGUAGCGGUGAAAUGCGCAGAUAUCAGGAGGAACACCGGUGGCGAAGGCGGGUCUCUGGGCCGAUACUGACGCUGAGGAGCGAAAGCGUGGGGAGCGAACAGGAUUAGAUACCCUGGUAGUCCACGCUGUAAACGU
rnacentral:rRNA from 2 species